rnacentral:rRNA from 1 species
UACGUAGGCAGCGAGCGUUGUUCGGAGUUACUGGGCGUAAAGAGUGCGUAGGCGGUUUUCUAAGUUUGGUGUGAAAUCUCCCGGCUUAACUGGGAGGGUGCGCCGAAAACUGGAAGGCUUGAGUAUGGGAGAGGUAAGCGGAAUUCCUGGUGUAGCGGUGAAAUGCGUAGAUAUCAGGAGGAACACCUGUGGCGAAAGCGGCUCACUGGACCAUAACUGACGCUGAUGCACGAAAGCUAGAGGAGCAAACAGG